rnacentral:rRNA from 1 species
UGCGUAGGCGGUUAUAUUAGUCAGUCGUUAAAACUCUGGGCUCAACCUAGAGAUCGCGAUUGAAACGGUAUAACUUGAAGAAGUCAGAGGUAAACAGAACUCUCGGUGUAGGGGUGAAAUCCGUUGAUAUCGAGGGGAAUACCAAAUGCGAAGGCAGUUUACUGGGACUUUCUUGACGCUGAGGCACGAAAGCGUGGGUAGCGAACAGGAUUAGAUACCCUGGUAGUC